AUAUACUUUUGCCUGAAAUAAGGGAGAUAAUUGCCAACUUCCGGUUUAGAAAAUGUCACUUCCGGUCUCAUAUGAUAGCUUUAUUCACACCGAUUCCAAAAAUAUAUAGUUUGUAUAUACUUAUGCCUGUAAUAAGGAAGAUAAUAUGCUAUUUCCGGUUUAUAAAAUGUCACUUCCGGUCUCAAAUGAUAGGUUAACCUAUGAUUAUUCAAAAAAUAUAUGGUUUCUAGGUACUUUUCCAUGAAAUAAGUGCAAAAAAUACUACUUCCGGUUCACUCAAGGUCACUUCCGGUUUACUUUUUACAAGGUCAUAUGUCAACCAACAGUUUGCAAAAGACUCUAUGGCUUUAUCAUGUACCAAGUUGGAGUAAUAAUCAAUUAACCUUAAAUUGAAUCAUUUCAGGAACAAUAACUCCUAUAAGAUAUCAUUGGAUUGUUUCAGACCAAAUGUAUCAUAUCUUAAUCACAAUUAAGCAAACAUUUUGCACUAGUUCUUUAAUUUGUAAUUUUAAAAGUGACAGAGGAGAUCAAAUAACAAGGAAAAGUCAAAAUUUAGAAUAUGACCUUGACCUUUGACCUUGGCCUCAAUUUCAUUUAAAUGAACCAAGGAACUCAAAUCAAUAUACCUUAGGUCUCUAUCACUUACCAUUCAUGCUAUACAUUUAUAUAUCCCUUAUGUCAAAUACAGAAGGGGAAAUAACUCUCAUAUGGAGUUUACGUAUCGCUUCGGUCAAAAUUGGACAAAACAUCCUGAGGAUAUAACGAGCAAUUUGUUAAAAUAAAUUUGUCACUUUCUUUUACGGUUACGGAGGAGAUGCGUGCACAAGGAAAACAGUGUUCGGGGAGAUAACUCCUACAGAGAAAAUUAUUUGGUUUCGCAGGGUAAAUUUCAAAGGCGCAUAAACUGUUCGAUAUCAUAUACCAAAUAUCUAAGCGACAUAUUGCGAAACAAAUAUUUAUCGCAAGAACAAAAUUUGGCGGAAGAAAAAAAAAAAAAAAUUAAAAA